rnacentral:piRNA from 1 species
UUAUAAUUUUAGUUAUGAAUA